AUGUACUGCAAAAAAUAUUCAGUGAGCUUCAAAACAUAUUCAAAGGAGCUGCAACCAUCAGGAGAAGCAGUAGCAAACAGGGAGGAGCUCAUCGAGGGGGAGGGGAACCAGAUCAAUGUUGGUUGGGAGCGGCACCCGAUAGGAGAACUUCUCCUUCCUCCUCUAUGCUCAUGGCCUAGCCCACUGGUGAGGGUGCAUCCAGUGGGGAAGUCAAGGGCGCGGUGCCGGCGGUGGUGGCCCGGAGCACCCCUUUGUGGAGGUGGUGGCCGCGUGUGGCCGGUGGUGGCGGCCCGGAGCCCCUCUGCCUCCCCUGGACGGAUCUGGUGGUGGGGCCGCAACACGGGAUCUAAACCAUGGGGUAGGGGGGAGAAAGAAGUGGGCUCGGGCAGGGCCAGGGCGCCGGCGACGAAGGAAGUAGGGUCGGCGAGGUGGGGCUGA
rnacentral:rRNA from 1 species